CCUACGGGUGGCUGCAGUGGGGAAUAUUGGACAAUGGGCGCAAGCCUGAUCCAGCCAUGCCGCGUGAGUGAUGAAGGCCCUAGGGUUGUAAAGCUCUUUCAACGGUGAAGAUAAUGACGGUAACCGUAGAAGAAGCCCCGGCUAACUUCGUGCCAGCAGCCGCGGUAAUACGAAGGGGGCUAGCGUUGUUCGGAUUUACUGGGCGUAAAGCGCACGUAGGCGGAUUGUUAAGUUAGGGGUGAAAUCCCAGGGCUCAACCCUGGAACUGCCUUUAAUACUGGCAAUCUCGAGUCCGGAAGAGGUGAGUGGAAUUCCGAGUGUAGAGGUGAAAUUCGUAGAUAUUCGGAGGAACACCAGUGGCGAAGGCGGCUCACUGGUCCGGUACUGACGCUGAGGUGCGAAAGCGUGGGGAGCAAACAGGAUUAGAUACCCUAGUAGUC
rnacentral:rRNA from 1 species